AAGCAUAUCAAUAAGCGGAGGAAAAGAAACCAACAGGGAUUACCUCAGUAACGGCGAGUGAAGCGGUAACAGCUCAAAUUUGAAAGCUGCCAACAGGCCGCGUUGUAAUUUGUAGAAGCUGCUUUGGGUGUCGGCCUAGUCUAAGUUCCUUGGAACAGGACGUCAUAGAGGGUGAGAAUCCCGUAUGUGAUUAGUGCCGCUGCCCGUGUAAAGCGCUUUCGACGAGUCGAGUUGUUUGGGAAUGCAGCUCAAAAUGGGUGGUAAAUUUCAUCUAAAGCUAAAUAUUGGCCAGAGACCGAUAGCGCACAAGUAGAGUGAUCGAAAGAUGAAAAGCACUUUGGAAAGAGAGUUAAACAGUACGUGAAAUUGUUGAAAGGGAAGCGCUUGCAACCAGACUUGCGUGCGGUCGAUCAUCCGAGGUUCUCCCCGGUGCACUCGAUCGUACUCAGGCCAGCAUCGGUUUUGGUGGUGGGAUAAAGGCUGCGGGAAUGUGGCUCUUCGGAGUGUUAUAGCCCGCGGUGCAAUGCCGCCUACUGGGACCGAGGACCGCGCUUCGGCUAGGAUGCUGGCGUAAUGGUUGUAAGCGACCCGUCUUGAAACACGGACCAAGGAGUCUAACAUCUAUGCGAGUGUUUGGGUGUCAAACCCAUACGCGUAAUGAAAGUGAACGGAGGUGAGAGCCCUUUAGGGUGCAUCAUCGACCGAUCCUGAUGUCUUCGGAUGGAUUUGAGUAAGAGCAUAGCUGUUGGGACCCGAAAGAUGGUGAACUAUGCGUGAAUAGGGUGAAGCCAGAGGAAACUCUGGUGGAGGCUCGCAGCGGUUCUGACGUGCAAAUCGAUCGUCAAAUUUGCGUAUAGGGGCGAAAGACUAAUCGAACCAUCUAGUAGC
rnacentral:rRNA from 1 species